UGGAGUGCAAUGGCACAGUCUUGGCUCACUGCAACCUCCGCCUCCUGGGCUCAAACGAUUCUGCUGUCUCAGCCUCCCAAGGAGCUGGGAUUACAGGCAUGUGUCAUCACGCCCAGGUGAUUUUUGUAUUUUUAGUAGAGACAGGGUUUCACCAUGUUGCCCAGGUUGGUCUUGAACUCCUGACCUCAGGUGAUCCACCCGCCUCAGCCUCCCAGAGUGCUGGGAUUACAGGUAUGAGCCACCAUGCCGAAAAAAGAUGGUGAAUUUCAUGUUGCUUUUGGGGGCUAUUUAGUAAGAGAUUAAAUAAAUACAUACAUAAAUAAUUCAUCUUAUUAAAUAACUUACAGACCAAAUAAGAAUACAAUUCAUCCCUAAACUCUCCUAUUGUUUCUUUUUUUACAUAUGAAUUUAUGAUUUGUAUAUAGAAACAAAUGUAUCACAUUUAUCAGGAUUAUCCCCCAUUUACAACAGGGCUAUUUGGAAUAAUCAAAAUAUUAUAAACUCCAUUAAUACCUUACCUUUUUAAAAAUAUCUUCUCUUUGAGAUUUUUUCAUGAUGGUCCUUUUAUUUCAACUUUCUAAAUAAAUAAGAAAUAUUAUUGAGAAUGACAUAUCAUAAGAAAACUGACUUGUGAUACUUGAGGUUAAAAGUAUGCUUUUUAAAUUUUUUAAUUUAACAAGAAACAAAACAGAUAUACUAUCACUUUUACUAUUUCAUAUUUGUAUUUGGUCACCUUCAGUAUUUAAUAGAAAUCCCGGUUAAUGCAAUAAGAUGUGCAAAAGAAGGAAGUAAGAGGUGUAACUCUUGGAAGAGGAAAACAAAAUUAUCAUUGUUUGUAGAUGAUAGGUUUUUAUACAUGAAAAACCCAAAAGACUAAAUAAAGUUUAGACAUAAUUAGAAAAUUGGAAUUGGCAGAAUACAAGAGAAUAUAUGUAAAAGUCAGUAUCUUCCCUACAUGCUAAUGUACUAGAAAAAAAUCACUUUCACAAAAAGGGUACUGAAAAAAACUUCAAGAUACUAAGGAAUUAUUUUAAUUAAAAUAUGUAUGAAUUCCCUUCCCCCCAAAAGUAUAAAACUUUGCAGUAAGAAAAAAAAGGAUCUGAUUAAAUAUACAUUUGAUCUUAGCCAAAAGGCCAAGAGGCAAUGAUUAAAUAUAGAUAUUCUAUGGAGGCAGGGAAAUUGAUUAAAAGGCUACUAAUAGAUACUAGAGAUCUAUUUGGAUGUUUGUCUCCUCCAAAUCUCAUGUUGAAAUGUGAUUCCCAAUAAUGGACAUGUGGCCAGGUGGGAAGUGAUUGGAUUGUGGGGGUGGAUACCUCAUGGUUGGCUUAGCACCAUCCCCUUCAUGAUGAGUUCUUGCUCAGUUAGUUCACAUGAGAUCUAGUUGUUUAAAAGAGUCUGUCUAGGACCUCCCCCCUCCUUCCUUUAUUUCCUCUCUUGCCAUGUGACAUGCUGGCUCCCCUUCCCUUCCACCAUGAUUGUAAGCUCCCUGAUGCCCUCACCAGAAGCAGAUGUUAGAGCCAUGCUUAUAUAGCCUGCAGAACUGUGAGCCAAUUAAAACUCUUUUCUUUAUAAAUUACCCAGUAUUCUUCUAUUGCAACGCAAGAAUGGCCUAAUACAAGAGUAUCAUUCAACAUGACGGUUAAAUGCAAGUUCAUGCAAUUCCCCAGACAUUUGUAGAAACUAGAAUGCCACACAAGUUUUUGUUUAUCUGUUUGUUUUUUAGAGACAGGGUCUCACUCUUUCACCCAGGCUGAAGUGCAGUGGCAUGAUGACAGCUCAUUACAGCCUUGAACUCCUGGGCUCAAGUGAUCCACCUGCUUCCACCUCUUGAGUAGCUAGGACUACAGGCAUGUGUCUCUAAGGCUCGGCUAAUUAUUAUUAUUGUUAUUAUUAGGUACAGACAGGGUCUCGCUGUGUUGCUCAGGCUGGUCUCAAACUCUUGGCCUCAAGCAAUCCUCCUGCCUCAGCCUCUCAAAGCAUUGGAAUUAUAGGCAUGAGCCACUGCGCUUUGCCUAAACAAAUUUCUAAAUCAAUUCUGCGGGCACAAGACUAUGUGGAUCCCUGAAUCAGCACAGACUUCUUUUUGGCACAAUUUUCAGUCACCUUGGUUACUUCUGUCACAGGCCAUUUGGUUUCAGGAGUGCUAGCAAAAUAAAACCACAGAAAAACCUCUAGCAUGUGGAAAUGGUUACACAAUGCAUAUCUUAGUAUAUAGUAACAUAUCUUUAAUUGUGAUCCAAUCAGAAAAUUGGUUCCCUUUAAUCUUCCCCUGGCUCUUGUUAGAAAUAUUUCUAAAUGUAUUAAUGCACUUUCCUUCCUUAGCAGAUCUGAAUUCAGACCAAAAUCCAAUUUUAUCUUUAUCUCAGUUCAUCUAUUGUCACAUAGUAUGAUGACACCUUUCUGAACUCUCUUAUAGCAAUGUUUCCUAAAUGAUGCCUUCCAGACUUAAUUUGAAUUAGGAUGCUAUGUCCAGAAUUAAGGUCUCAUUCACAGUUAUGAUGUAAUUAAGGCAACAAUAGCAUUUUGUAAAAAUAAUCUAUUAAAUAUAUAGCACCAGCUACCCUUUAUUGUUAUUAGGAUAUGGAAGAAGUGGAAUUUAACUUAACAAUUCUUUACUUAGUUAAGAGGAAUAUAGCAGUAUUUCACAGUGUUCUACAAAAAACAUUAUGACUUCCAUGUAUUGCAUUAACUGGCAAGUUUAAAAAUUAACUUAACUGUUAUCUUGUUUUCCAAAAUCAAAACUUAGGAACAAACGGCGUGACAAAAGAUUUUCUGAUCUGUGAAUUUAUUUAAGUCUUCGAAAGGCAACAAAACUAAAUCACCCACUGCUCUGAGGACCAGUUCCCAAGUCAUCAUGUCCUGCUCCUGUAGAUCAAGAAAGAUUUGGGCCCACUUCUCUAUCUUGGGACUUCUGGUACAUGAAAACUAAUGUGGAAACAGGUUACAAAAA
rnacentral:lncRNA from 10 species